GAUGAACGCUGGCGGCGUGCCUAAUACAUGCAAGUCGAGCGAACGGACGAGAAGCUUGCUUCUCUGAUGUUAGCGGCGGACGGGUGAGUAACACGUGGAUAACCUACCUAUAAGACUGGGAUAACUUCGGGAAACCGGAGCUAAUCCCGGAUAAUAUUUUGAACCGCAUGGUUCAAAAGUAAAAGACGGUCUUGCUGUCACUUAUAGAUGGAUCCGCGCUGCAUUAGCUGGUUGGUAAGGUAACAGCUUACCAAGGCAACGAUGCAUAGGCGACCUGAGAGGUGGAUAGCCCGCACGGGAACUGGACCACCGACAAUACGCCUGAGGGAGGCACCAGAAGGGAAUGUUAGGCAGUGGUCGGCAGCCUGACGCAACGAGCGCGCGUGAGUGAUGAAGGUCUCCGGAUCGUAAUUAUCUGUUAUUGGGGAAGAACAGCUUUGUAAGUAACUGUGCACAUAUUGACGGUACCUAAUCAAGAAGCCACGGCUAACUACGUG
rnacentral:rRNA from 1 species